CUCCCCGAACAGGGGCUCCUGCGGGCCAGGUGAUCGCCCCUGCGUGCCGGGCAGGCCCGGGGGAAGCUCGCGCCUGCCUUGAUCCAUCCAGGUCACCCAGGGUUUAUUUCGGGUCAUUUGGUCACCCCCUGCCUCCAGGAGAAGAGAGAGACACAGAGAAGAGGACACCCACGUGAAGGCAGAGGCAGUGACGGGAGUGAGGUGGCCACAAGCCAAGGAGCACCAGGAGCCAGCCAGAAGCUGGCGGAGGUCGGAGUGAGGCCCUGCCCACACCUUGACUUUGGGACUUCUGGCUGCUAGAAUUGUGAGAGUAAAUUUCUGUAGUUUUAAGCCAUGUGGGUGGUCAUUUUUUACAGCAGCCCUUGGAAACGAAGACACCUGCCUCCUGCAUUUACCAGCUGCCUUACCUGGAAUGACACAUUUCUUAUGCUCCUGAGCCUUGGCUUCCACAUCUGUGAGAUGGGGACGCCCCGAGUGCCUACAUCACUGGGUGUGUGAGGACUUGAUGGGAUUGAUGAGGACAAAGCUCUCAGGGAAAGUCCUGGUACCCUCCCUAAGUGCCCCUCACUUGUAGCAAGAUUUAAAGUUAUACACCAAACAAUUCUGGCCCUGACGAGUCCUGUCUCUGCAGGGGCACAAAAGAACUUUAGAAGUCCCCAUGCCAGCCUCCACGCGUGGUUUGUCACACCUAGCACAGGACCCCGGGCUCAUCACAGGCCAUCAAGGUUGUGUUGUACAAAAUGGUGCUGAUGACCCCUUGGGAUGUCAUUUUUCACCCCCUAAAAGGGAUAACAGGAUCUCUAAGUGGUCAGAGCAUGGAAAUUGGUGGUAAUGACCCCCCACGAUGUCAUCUUUAACACCCCAUUAAAGGGAAGGCAGGAUCUCACAGCGGUCAGACCACAGACUCUGAGUCAGACUCCCUGCGUUUAGAUUCCUGCUCCGUGACUCACUUGCUGUGUGACCUUGGGCAAAUUUCUUAACCUCUCUGUGCCUCCGGUUUCAAAUGAAAAAUGGGCAUGAUGUGCAGUGUGCCACUACCCCAUCAUGUCUGUAAAUGCUGGUGUGAGAAGAUGCCAUGUGGAGGUUACAUAAACGUCAGACCCAAUAGAGAGGACAUUCCUUUGAAUUUGAAACCUAACCAAGUUUCCACUUGAGGCCAAACUGCCUUUUCACGGCUUGCCCCCACCCUGCCUCCAAAGGGAAGCUCACCCCCCAGGAGAGCUCUCAGGCUGCACGUUGCUCAGGAUUUUCCCGGCCAGCUCUUGUGAAGCCUGGGAGCAGUAAUGAGCGCCUUGGCACUUGCCGCCCACAUUUCUGGAAGACGCACCCAGCUUCGCGGUGUGAGCCCUCCCAGGCCAGAAUGGAAAUGCGGCAUCAGCAUGGGCUUAAAGAUCAAGUCGAAAGGUCUGUUUUCUCUAGGGCUCCACCCCCUGAAUUCUUGGGAUUCUUGGUUAAUGGAAGUGCCCCCAGGGGGCCUGCUUCCAGGGCUGAGCCAGCAGAGCUGACUUACCCCACACAGGGCUCGGGCUGCAGCCCAGAGUGGGAUGGGGUGCGGAGGGGGCACCGAGGACAAGGAUUCCCGCUGUCCCACGAGGCCAGGGCAUCCUGCUGGGGCUUAGGCCCCACCUCACCAUCCCCAGCAAGCUGGCGUCCUAGAAUUUUGUCCUGUGCAGAGGGCAGGGCUGGAGCUAGCACACAGCACACUCCAGGAAAUGUAACACCACGCCUGAGGGACCAGCCUGGGGAGCGAGGGACGCUGAGCCCUUCAAAAGGGGAGCUAGUGUCUGGGCUGCCUGCCUGCCAUGUGAUCUGGGCAAGUUUCAGCCUCCCUGAACUCUAGUUUUCCCGCUGGUAAAAUGGGGUUCACAGCAUCACCUCCCAGCACUGGGUGAAAUUCUGGCCACCACCUAGUGUUACUGAAGAAUAGGUGCUUGUCUGGCAUGCGAAAGAAUUCAAGUGCAAGGCAUAGUAAAGUGAAAGCAAGUUGUUUUAGAGAGAGAUACACUCCAUAGACUGUGGACCAUCUCAGAAGGAGAGGGCGCGGGGGAGAGGGAGACCACAAGGUGCGGGGUGCUAGUUUUCAUGGGCUUGGUAAUUUCAUGUGCUAAUGAGUAGGAGAACUAAUCCACCUAUUUUGGGAAAGGGGCGAGGAUCUCCUGGAAGUGGGUCCUGCCUACUUUUUGACCUUUUAUGGUCAGCCUAGAAGCUGUCAUGGUGCCUGUGGGCGGGCCAUGCGGUGCAAGGUUUACUGGAAGACGAAUCUUGCACCAUCUUGAUUGUAACCCAUUUGUCCUUUCCUCAACUGCUGUGUCAUUCCUUCAAUGGUUGUGCCCUGACCCCUUCCCUCUUGUCUCCCUAGUGGUGUUUGGUGUCCUGAGGAGACAGACUCUGAGGGUGUCUGGGGGAGACGGGGUGAGGUUGGAGCCCAGCCAGGAUGCCCUGUCUUCGCAGCACAGUGGGAACCUGGGCUGGCUGUGUACGGGAAGCAAUGAUUUGCCACCCAGAACGCCCUCUAUUUUUUUUUCCCUCUGGAGUCCGUGUUUGGAAACUUGAUUCAAAAGCCUGCUGUGAUCAGCGAUGCUCCGUGUGGCUCCGGAUUUCCAAUUCCAGAAAGGCAUCUAUGGAUCAGUUCAGGUGUGGUGAGCAGCGUCUCCGUGCGGGCACUGGCCUCAGGAGGCAGGGAAGUCCUGGAGGGUGAGCCUCCCUCUGUCCACUUGUUUGUCCCUCGGUCCACCUUUCUGUUGGUCUGUCUAUCCUUCAGGGAGUAGAUGGGCCGAGCCCUUCUACUUCCUGGCUCUGUAAAUGUGGGCAAAUUAAUUAGGUGAUUGUGGGCCUCGAUGUGCUUGUCUGUAAAGUGGGGAUGACACCAGCACCUACUUCUUGGGUGGUUUCUGGCAUUAAGCAAAUCCACACAGGCGAGGGACUUAAUAGCUGUGCUGGCUCAUGGUAGGCACCAAACUGGUGUUGGACCUUAUUUAUUAACAUUAUUGUUAUUGUUGCUAUUGAAACUUGCACAAAAUUAACAUCUGGCUUCACACACUUGGCAAAAACUUCUUCAACUUUGGCAGUGACCUUGAAUGCAAUCUUGCAUGAAUCUAUUUCACAGCUGUGCAUUCACCUCAGUUGGCUCUUGGUAGGACACGGACUUGGCAGGUCUCAGUAAAUGGCAAACAUUUCAUAGUUGCAUUACUGCCCUGAGCAGCUAGAGUUCCAGCCACAAGCAACCCCACUGAAUAACUCAACAGCCUGUGCUUCUUAAUUUCCGCUGCCUCUGGAAAUUUCAGGAUGACACUGCAUACUCCCCCUGCUGUCCUCACAGCUCCCCGAGGAGCUCCCUCAACCCUCAAGUUAAAUCCACGCCUCAGUGAAGCAACACGGGUGGAGGUCCUGGGCAGAGAAUGGUCUGGGAGUUAAAACCCCAAAGCUUUGCGCUCUCCUCGUCCUGUUUGUCCCUUAGACACACUAAAUUGGGAAGAAGGAUAGUACUGGUUAAGAUUGUGGACAGAUUAAGCUGCUUAAAGCAAAGCCCUGCUCUAAUGGCUGUUAGUCUAAAACUGCCCUUCUUCGAGGCUCAGUUUCCUUAUCUGUCAAAUGAGGAUAAUGAUGCGCUGUCACCUAGAAGCUCUACUGAAGGGUAAAUGAGGUAAAGGUGGAGGGAAAUAGCUUGGUGGCAGAGCACAUGCUUAGCAUGCAUGAGGUCCUGGGUUCAAUCCCCAGCGCCUCCAUUAA